CUUAUUCUUGUCUUCGCCCCCACCCCUCCCAACCCUCUUAUCUCAGCUGUGUACAAACUGAUAUGGUACUUAGCAGGAAAGUGACUGGAAAUUAAAAUAACUUCGUUCACCAGAGGUUAUCAGCUGGAUAUCUGUCAUCAUCAGUUUGUACAGAAAGAGUCAUCUGCGGCAAAGGGCUGGACUAGAGCAGAGCCCGGCUCUCGGCAGCCGGCAGACACGAGUCCUCCCGACAGAAACCGAGCCCAAACCUGCUGAUGCGCGGUGCUGUCGCUCCUGGGGUUUGCGCCCGAGCUGCUCAAAUCACAUAGCCUUCGGUUCCUAACUCUUCAUGACGUCACUCCCUUCCCAAAUCCCACUCUUCUGACGUAACUUUCACCCCGGGGCUUCGGGAGCCUUUCGGGUAUCUCCUGCCCUGGGGCUGGGGUAGGGAACAGGGAGAGCAUCUGUGAGGAGAGAGCAGAGGCAUUUUUCUAGAGGAAAGCCGGGCGGGGAGAUGCUCGGUGUGGAAAGGCACCGCUGGAGAGGUGGUGCCGGCGAGAUAAUCAUCGCUCCUGUUCGUUGUGGCCAAGGGGGGAAGGAGACAGAUUGGAGAGAGAGAGAGAGAAAGAAAAAAAAAAAAAAAAGUAAAGAAAAAAAAAAGAAAAAAAGGUUUGUAUCCAAUUAAGGCAAACUCCCUCAUGGGCACUUCAACCUUAAAAAAAAAAGGGUUGGGGGAAAAGCCGUGUGCAGGAGCAGUGUUGUUGCUCCUUUCCCCACUCCCGGGUUUUUGUAAAUAUGACCCGUUGCAAGCGGUGCAUUAGGGAGGAAGGGAAUGCUCCGGUCCGUCCGCAUCCCCACCGACCCCUCGGCCCAGGCAGCCACGAGCAUCGCCUGCCGGGCCGGCCCCGGUGCCCCUGGGGCGGUGGAGGCGAAGCGGCCUUCGGUGCGAGGCGGUACGAGGGGUCACUUUGGUGACUAUCGCAGGAUGGAGUGUAUUCUUUUCCGAGCCGUGUUUAUGUAACUUAAUGUACUUUAGAAACUGCUGGGGAGCUUAGGCCAGGCUGAUAAGCGCAGCGGUUAUUAGAGGCGACGUGCCGGCAGCUUCCCCCCCACUCUCUUCUCCCGUUCGCUUAUCCGCGCUACUUAAAAUAUACUUUUAUCAAGGCCACCCCGCGAUACGGAGUGUUACCAUUCCCCAGCGGCUGUGACAUUGAAGCGGAUUUAUCGCCGGGGACAUGGGCAGCGCUCAGGAGCACCCAGCCCAGCGGGGAGCUGCCGGCCGGCUCCGCGAUUGCCCGCCGCUCGGGGCUCAAGUCCCCGCCGCAGGCACCGCUGCCCAAGCCGGCAAGGAAAUCUGCAUCAGCCGGAGAAAGAGGGAUUUCAGCAGCAGUCGGGGGAGAGGGGCCUUUGCCACCGCCCCUCACCUCCCUCUCGGGCCGGGCGGGACAGUCUCGGGAGAUGGGGCAGCGGUUCUUUAAACUCGACCCAAAAAAGCAGCAUGUUUCUGUAUACAGCAGAGCGAGGAGUGAGGCAUAGUGAAGGUGCCCUUUGCGAGAGAUCAGAUGUGUCCCGUGGAGGGGAUGGGAGCCCUCAAUUCACAAGAGUGAGGAGGGGUGAUUUUUUUCUUGCCUCAAAACUCGUAGCUAAGAGCUACUGAGUGCUUAGAGGCCGAGCUUGAGCUCCAGCCUUUCUUGCUAGCUGGAGACAACAGGGUCCAAGCCCCCCCGGCUGCCCUCUCCUGGUCAGGACACCCUGCCCCGGCUCCGGGGAAACUUCCCCACUCCCACCCAGCAGCUCGGCUGUCCCCGAGGGCUGAAGCCGUGGCCGACAGCGGGGAGCAGGGCAAGGGGUUAUUCCCUCCUGCAGUAAGCGGCCUCCCCAUUACUGGCGACCUGCUGCCACCGUGCUUUUGGGUGAUUUCCACCGUGUCCUUCAACACCUGACGCUCAAACAAGCAGUAGGCAGCAGAAAGUCGUAACACUUUUAUGCAAUAGGUAGCUGAGUGUGUUUGUAUUUGUUUGGUUGAUCAGUGUUCUUUUUUGUUUUCUUUCGUGGUUUUUUGUUUGUUUGCUUUCGUUUUUUAAUAAUGAUCCACAGCUCCCUUUUAUUUUCCCUGCCUCCAAUCUCCGAGGUUCGCCUGGUUAAUGAUUUCAACCUCAAAAAAAAGAAGAUUAAAAUCAACAAAACGCGCGGAGGAGAGGCUCCUGUUGCCGCGUAACCUGACUCCCGGAGCCGGCGCUCCGCGGUACCCACACGGUGAGCCCCGGCGGGGCGGACAGGGAAAGGACGAUGCCCCCUGCUCUUGGGGUGACCGGCAGGCGGCCGGGACCCACGCAGCACCCUAAAAAACACGCUUACAAUUUAGCUACUUCUGUUCAACAGGCGCAUACACACUUAGUCUCUUUCCAACACAUACUUUGCAAAUGACGAGCUGAGGUUUGGUUUUAUUGCUUCUUUGCGUUUUUGAGGGUUUUUAAGGGCCGGUAGCUAAAAUGGCCUAAUUUUUAUGCUUUUAUCUACGGGUACCUCAAUGCCUUUGCUACGAAGCGGUGGGGCCGUGUUUCACGUAUUAUUUGCGGCGACGAAUUAUAUUAUAUGUUACUUUUAAUCGCAGGGUAAAGGCAGAAGAAAAGUUCCCCCCGUCCCUGGGUGCCGCCACCUCGGCGAGGGGGACAGGGCCGAGGGGCGGGUGAAAGCCAUAAGCGCCUGGGGACAUGCGGGACCCCCCAGGAUCCCUGCCUGCUCCUGCCUGAGUGCCGGGGAAGGCUUUCAGGGGACUCUUUCUGCUGGAUCGGACGCGGAAAGCCCAGGAGAAAGUUUCUCAGGGUUCUUGCUGGAAGAGCUCGUUGUGGGAGACUUGAAACAGAGGGACGCAGGGCCCGGCGGAGCCGCGCUUCACCUCCCCACCGCUUCACAGCGGAGCUUCUCCUCAUCCUCCCCUCGUCCCUUAUCACCGGUGUUAGGCAAUACCAAAUCCGGUCUGCAUUAGCUACCCUGCCUCCACCCCCAUCCCUAGAGCAGAGGUUGAACAAACUUAAUAAUUUUUUUCAGUUAAAAAAAACCCCAAACAAACACAGCCCCAAAAAACCCCAAACAAAGGUAAAAUCCUCCAUCACCAAGUGUUCCCUGGGCCGGUUUGUCGCCACUACCUCACACCGCUAAGAAAAUACCGUUUUCUUCAUCGAAACCUGAUGGACAAGACCUCCCAGCGCACCGUUGCCUUCUUAUUUCUCUGCCCAGGAAACAAAAAUAAACGAUCAGAACUGGUCAAAACCUUCCAGCGAAAUGCCUUCCACGGGAUAAAAUGAACUCGUCCUCCCGCAGGCAUUUUGGAGGAGUAACUUCGUUUCACGCGUGUCCAUGUCGAGCUCCGGUGGAGCUGCCCCGUGUCUGUUGGCAUCGUGGCAACCCCUCGCCUUCCCUUUUGGAACCGUUUUAUUGCCAUUUACCAGCCUUACCGAAAAGUCUGAGACCAAGUGCCAAAUUAAAAAACAAAAAGUAUUCGCAAUCUUAGCUACGCAAAAUGUUUCCAUUCAUCCGAACUAUUGUUUUCACCUGCUGCUUUCGUGAGAAAUGAAAAAAUGAAGGGACUUUUUUCUUGCUUGGAGUGAAAGUUGAUUUUAAAACGUUAAAAUAGCAUCUUUCAGAGCGAGUCUGACCUGUUCUGUAAAUGCAAGUUCUACGGGAUUGGAAAAACAAAUCAAAACAACCACAUCACAGAAUUAGAGACAUCAGAGUUAACAGCUCCGAGUAAUUAGAUAGCCUAUUAAUAACCUCGCUGCUAUAAAAAGUAGGUGGAUGGCUCCUGCCUCGGAAGGUAUGCGCAGACAUACCACAGGAGGUGGGAUAGAGACCGAGGUGGGAUGAGACGUGUGGGGCCCCACCGACAGGCAAAAUGCGUGUAGCUUCCUUUUCCCUUGCCCCCUUCCCGCUGCAGUAGCCGCUUUUUCCCUUCAUUUGAUUUCCCGAAGUCUCGGAGGCACCGCGGAGUCAGGUCCCGGCCGGGCGGGUCCCAUCCCCACCGGCCACAGAUAAGAGAUGAUGCUAAUUCACCUCCGAGGAGGCAACGCCUUCCUUUUUUUAAUUAUUUUUUCUCCCCUUUGCUUUUCUCUGCUUUUCUUCUCAUCUCCUUUCCCUUUUCUCUUUUUUCCUUUCCUUUCCUUUCCUUUCCUUUCCUUUCCUUUCCUUUCCUUUCCUUUCCUUUCCUUUCCUUUCCUUUCCUUUCCUUUCCUUUCCUUUCCUUUCCUUUCCUUUCCUUUCCUUUCCUUUCCUUUCCUUUCCUUUCCUUUCCUUUCCUUUCCUUUCCUUUCCUUUCCUUUCCUUUCCUUUCCUUUCCUUUCCUUUCCUUUCCUUCUCCCCCCCACCCCACCCCGCAGUGCUAAUGGCUUCGCGGACACAGCCCUCUAUGCUAAAAGUAUAAAUAUAAACGUUCUCUGUGUGAAUACCUCAAUUUCCAUUUCGUCCGUGUAAUCACUGGCAGUGUUUAUACAUUUCGCCUCAGCCUCCAGGACCAAAGAAGCUGUGCAAAUAAUUCACGCUUUUCGAUUACUUUAGGAAAAGGCAGAUCUGUACAGCCGUUAUUGCUGCCCAUGUUGAAUUUUUAAUUAAAUAUUAAAGGACAUCAGUCUUUUCAAACAAUUUAAAAAAUUGUAAGCCGAUUGUCCCAGAAGAUGCUUAUAACUAGGUGGCUAUAAUGUAUUGUUCCAUUGCUGUUAUUGAUUAAUUUUAAAAGGCCACAGAUGACUGAAUUUUAAGGAGUCAAAUGGCUUGAUUUUAAUUCCAGUUAGAUGAAUAUGAGUAAGAAGUAGUGUAGACUGAUAUACAUACGGAUUUUUCAUGCUGUAAUAAUUUCUUACAUUUUUUUGCAUAGAUACACUUUACAUACACAAUUUCUUAACUUAUUGUACUUGAUGGGUGCAAUAGCUUUAGUAUUUGAAGAUGUAACACAGUUGUAGCAAAGUAGAUGGGAGUAAGACCAGCGUUACUGGGCUUUUUAGGGUGUGUUUUGUUUUGUUCGUUGUUUUUGCUUGUUUGUUUGUUUUCAGUAUUUAUAAUAAGGAUAGAGUUAGCAGACUUUUUCUGAAGUAACCAGUCCUCCUAGUAGACCAAUGUGAUGGCAGGCAGUACGGUGACUACUGUUUCCAAGAAGAGGGAAAAAAUAAAAAAGACCUAGGCAUUUUCAAUACACUCUGAACAUAAUACUAUGUAACAGUAUUACAGGAAAACUGCAGGGAUUUGCUGCUAACAUCCGUUAGUAGACAAGCUGGUAUCUGAAUAAUGCAUUUAGCAUUUACUGAUGACAGACAUAAGUUUUGCCACACACAACUGUAAUAAUCACCUGUGAAAUAAUGCAAAAAAAAAAGUUUUACUAUAAAUUCACAUGUAUUGUUUGCUUUGCUUCAGCCUUGCAGCAGCGUAUUUUGAUUGUUGUGAUAUUGGUGUAAGCUGAUUUUUCUGGUGAAUCAGUGAAUCAUUCACUGAUUUGACUGAAUAUGAAUCUGUUCUUACAAAGAA